ACGGAGGUGCGAGCGUUGUCCGGAAUCACUGGGCGUAAAGGGCGCGUAGGCGGUCUGCUAAGCGUGCGGUGAAAGCCUGGGGCUCAACCCCAGGUCUGCCGUGCGAACUGGUGGACUCGAGUACUGUAGAGGCAGGUGGAAUUCCGGGUGUAGCGGUGGAAUGCGUAGAGAUCCGGAAGAACACCGGUGGCGAAGGCGGCCUGCUGGGCAGUUACUGACGCUGAUGCGCGACAGCGUGGGGAGCAAACAGGA
rnacentral:rRNA from 1 species